GGAUUGCGUGCGCGGGGAAGAUCUCCAGAAAGUUUGUGGUUUCUCUCUACAGCGACCAGGAACAUCGCAGUAAAGCUUAGGUGAUGGCGAUUGCAGAACACCGUAAAAGAAUAGCCUUGGAAGGAUUGCCCCUCUACCUCAGGGAGGACCCAACAAGUCUUUUCAAGAAAUGUCUGGAUACAGAUGCUGAGGAACACUACACCAAAGGUGUGAAAAUUGGGAUCCUCACAGUGGUAGAAGAUGACGUUGCAGCAGUCAAAUCUCUUCCUACGGUAAUCAACACAGCCAUCAUUUUGGAAGAGACUGUUGUUCUCCAGGAUAUUAAGGAUGUACCAUCUGCAUUUACGUAUUUGAUGGGCCUUGUUUAUGCAAUCGAUAUGCAAUACCCCAAAAACCUCAAGUAUACCUUUGAGGUGAUACAAAAGGUUUUUCUCAACCUAGGAGCUACCAGCUGUUCUGCGAGAACCCUGUCUUUCAGAAAUAAAAUGCAGGGACAUCUGUGAUAGUUUGCUUGAUGUAAUGGCACAUUAUUGGAAGUUGUACUGAUUGUUAGGACUGUGAGACCUUUUAAGUUUAAUUUUAUGCAUUUGGUAACGCUUUACUUGACGGGUGAGUACAUAACAUAUUCAUUGUAGCUGUAGUGACCGUUUUAGAAGACAUGACAACAUUCAUACCCUUCAAAAAUGUGGCAGUCAGAAUGGCGAUAUUUAUUGUCAUUUAUGCUUGUCAUCUGAUCAUAUCUAAAUAUUUUUUAUGAAUAGCUUAUAUUAUUACUAUACAGGUUGUGAAGUAUUCAUAAUCACUUAUCCGAGUUCAAGACUGAGAGGUAAACUACAUAUAGCUGACCAGUAUUUGUUGACCCUGAUUUGUUGACACCUUGAGGUAGUUAUAAUAUUUUGCCGCUUUGCCCACACUCAAGGGAAAAUGUCCAAAGUUCCCGGGUCAUCUCUAUGUGGUUUACUUCCCAGUGUUAAACUUAGAUGUGAAUGAAUGUUGAGUCAUGUUUUAUGAAUAAAUUAUAAAUACUUAGUUUGAUAAUUUCACAGCUGCUAUGAAUGUGAUAUGUACUUACCCGUCAUGUAAAAUGUUACCAUGCAUUUAUAUACAAUUUUUGUUGCUUUGCGACUAAAGGUACAACAAAGUGCAUUGUAUUAUUCAAUUUUGAAAACAAUGGCAUUUUCUUUUCAAAGCCAUUUUAUCCCAUGUUUUAUCCUCAUUACACAGAGUUCCCUCAUUACAGUUCGUAUUAAUGAGGCCCAUAGCACUCAGGAUCUUAACACUACAGCACCUAUUGUGUAUUAAGUUUUUUUUAAUUUUUUUUUAUUAUUAUUAUUUUUUUGAUUGUGUGCAGCUCAAAGAUCACUGAAUAUAGUUGAAACCCCAUUGUUUCAAAACAUUUUUGAUAUAUUCUUUUAUUGUGUGCAGAUGAAAGUUCACUGAUUACAGUUGAGAACCUGUAGCUUCAAAACAUUUUUUUAAUUUUUUUUAUUUAUUUAUUGAUUGAUUGUGUGCAGCUCAAAGUUCACUGAUUAGAGGUGAAAACCUGUAGUUUCAAAACAUUUUUUAAAAAUAUCUGUGUAUUCUAUGCUGCAU